GCACUAAGUCACUUUGUCUUUAUGGCAAAUGUGAGAUGCAGUGUAUGGAAUGUCAAAUUUCUAGUAUGAGAAAUUAACGAUUUAAGUCCUUCUUAAAUGAGGCCAUUUACCCAUAGAGGGUGCCAGGCCCGUAUAACGUUAAUGAUUACUAGAUGGCAUUUCCAAAGAGUCGUGUUGCUUGAUAGUGCAGCACUAAGUGGGUGGUAAACUCCAUCUAAAACUAAAUAUAACCAUGAGACCGAUAGUAAACAAGUACCGUGAGGGAAAGUUGAAAAGAACUCUGAAUAGAGAGUUAAAUAGUACGUGAAACUGCUUAGAGGUUAAGCCCGAUGAACCUGAAUAUCCAUUAUAGAAAAUUCAUCAUUAUGAUUUUAAUAUUAAUAAUAUUAUAAUAAUGGUGUGCAUUUUUUCUAUAACGGACAUUGUAAUCUAUUAACAUAAAUAUAUUUAUCAUAAGAUCAAUGAUGCGUAAGUUUAUUCAAAUUAUUUUGCUUGCAAUUUAACAUAGAAUAAAUGCUCUUGAUUUGAUAAAGUGUUGAUAGAUUUAUUGUAUAUAGUGCUUAAAUAUUUAUAUUUUAUAAUAGCAUAUUAAUCAUUGAUUUUUAUGUUUAUUAUAUGCACUUAUAUGAUUAACAAUGCGAAAGAUUCAGGAUACCUUCGGGACCCGUCUUGAAACACGGACCAAGGAGUCUAACAUAUUUGCAAGUUAUUGGGUAUCAAAACCUAAUAGCGAAAUUAACAUAACUUUAAUGGGAUUAGUUUUUAGAUUAUUUAUAGUCUAUUAAUUCAAUCCCGGGGCGUUCUAUACAGUUAUGUAUAAUAAUAUUUAUAUUAUUUAUACCUCUAACUAGAGCGUACCUUGAGCAUAUAUGCUGUGACCCGAAAGAUGGUGAACUAUACUUGAUCAGGUUGAAGUCAGGGGAAACCCUGAUGGAAGACCGAAACAGUUCUGACGUGCAAAUCGAUUGUCAGAAUUGAGUAUAGGGGCGAAAGACCAAUCGAACCAUCUAGUAGCU
rnacentral:rRNA from 1 species